UACGUAGGGGGCAAGCGUUGUCCGGAUUUAUUGGGCGUAAAGAGCGUGUAGGCGGCCAGACAAGUCCGUUGUGAAAACUCGAGGCUCAACCUCGAGACGCCGAUGGAAACCGUCUGGCUAGAGUCCGGAAGAGGAGAGUGGAAUUCCUGGUGUAGCGGUGAAAUGCGCAGAUAUCAGGAAGAACACCCGUGGCUAAGGCGGCUCUCUAGUACGGUACUGACGCUGAGACGCGAAAGCGUGGGGAGCGAACAGG
rnacentral:rRNA from 1 species